UGGCAAAAAUCUCUCAAAAGAAAAAAAAAAUUCUUGUUUCUCCUAGGGAUUUUCUGCUUGGUGUCGUCGGUGUAGGAAGGGUUGGGUGCCAGGGCAGACCCAUGGUGGAGGUGGAGGGCUCCAGCAGGGGUAACCUGGGUGUCACACAUCUGCCUUUGGGGGGUGUCGCCUCUUUCCUGCUUGCUGACACUCCUGAGACCCCUCACACCCCUCCAUAGCCCUGAUUUGUUUCUUAUUUUGGCAUUACGAUGACUCAGCACCUCCCUUCCUGUCCAGGGCAACUCUCUGAGCCUCAGUUUCUCAGCAAAGCGGGGAGGAUAAUAGAUGCUCCAUCCCACAGUAGCGUGAGGGUCAUGAGUUAAUGAGGCCCAGAACAGAAGCUAUGGCGGCUCAUGGAUGUGGUGCCAGCUCAAAGGCACCGGGCGCCGGCAGCGCUGGGAUGAACCUGGGCACCACAGCGCUCUUGGCCUACAGGGGCAUCCACGCAGGAGCCACCCUGUGCCGGGCCUGGGUGCCAGCUCCUCGCCAACCCCCUGGGAUGGAUUUUGCAAGGAAGUAGCGGGUGCUGGGUCCCAGCCAGCAGGGGCCGACUCUGGUUUCACUUUCUGCUGUGUCAUGGGGGGAGGUGUAGGGGGGCCCAGCUGGCCAGCUGGGGUAGGCACAGAGGCUGGGGACAGCUGCUGACCCAGCUGCUGGGCACCCCCAUGCCCUCAUCCUACAGCCUGCCAGGAGGGGGGGCUGGGUCCUGAGAGCACCCCUGCAUAGCUCUACACCCGCACAGUGGGUAGAGCCCCCAGUGGAAAAGCCAGGAGUGGGUGGGAUGGCUUCUUCAGCUGUUGAGACUCCCCCCAGAACAGGUUUUAAAUCACAUAGGCGUGAAGCUUAGAGGACCGUGGCUGUUGACUCUGGGUCCGAUUGCUCUAGCUGAUUGCUUGCGUCCUCCUGUCCUCCAUGGGACUGGUGUCUGUGGAAGGCCUGGCAUGUGCUCAGCACCGUGCCGGGUGCUGGAAGGACAGCAGGGAGUGAGACACAGCCCUCCCUAUGGGGCUUACAGAUGAGUCAGGGGAGGCCCGUGCUGGGAAAAUCCCACCCCUAAGGCUCGGCGUUAGUUAGGAUCUUAGGGCAGGGUUCGUGUAUGUGUCUCUUAGAGGUGUGUCAAUUUCCAGAUGUAGUGGCCACACUGCUAAGACACUGAGCUCUGUUUGCUGGGACCCCUGGGAGGCCCAGGUUCAAUAUUCCGUCCAACCUGAAGGCACAGUGGCAAGUGACUUCAGCCCUCAAGGAGGCUGAGGCAGGAGGAAUCGGAAGCUCCAGGCUGACCUGAGUGAUGCGAUGAGACCCUGGUGCAUGCCAGUAGUCCCAGCUGGGAGGCUGAGGCAGGAGGAUCAGGACAGCAAGUCUUGAAAAAUCAGAACACAGACCCAGGAGCCAGUUGUCCCCUUUGAAGCUGGACUCUUCAGCUGACUGCUGUGUGGCCUCUGACAAGUCACUUCAUCUCUUUGUGCCUCAGUGCCCUGUCUGGAGGUGCUAGAACAAUAGGGCACCUCACAGGGCCACGGUGAGGAUGAAACAGAUGACAGCGACGUCUGCAGAGAACUGAGGACAGCCUUGGCGUUGACUGGCGCUGUGGAAGUCUCACUUGUUACAUAAGAAAUGCGGGACAAUCUUUACAAGAUGAAACCUGUUGCCAGUGCCCUCUGAAUAGCUUCUGUCACUCACAUGCCUAUCAACAGUGCAAGUGUGAGCAUGCCCAUUUCGACACCCUUUCUACCCCAGGAAGGAUGCAGAGGAAGCCAAUUCCAAACGAGGCUGACACCUCCGGUGCCAAGUUUCUAGGGGAUACGAAAUUCUGCUGUGAGAUUAGAAACCACUAGGGAGAAGACGAGAACCGGGAAGCUGCUGUGAGGGAGCCGUACGUGGGCUGCCGAAGGCUUCCCUGUCUGCGCUGCAGGUGAACCUGCCACUAAUUGCAGCGAACGAAACGUGGAGCACAUCAAGACCAGAGGAUGGAAAAGGCUUCAGUUCUGAUAAAAGGAGGCCUGCUUGGCUCGGAAUCCUCCCCCCUGCCAGCCAGGAGGCGCAAAGAUGUUUCCAGACAGGGAUGACGGAUGGAGGGGAAAGAAAUCAGGCCAACGUGAGUCGCCUUUCGGGGCUGCGCGAACACAAAACCCAACCACUUGAAAUGGUUCCAAGAGAGGGGAUUAAAGCAACAUGUUAUUUUGA